UAAAUGGCAGGAUUUCAUCCUGUUGUAUGGCC
rnacentral:piRNA from 1 species